UACGGGGGGGGCAAGCGUUGUUCGGAAUACUGGGCGUAAAGCGUGCGCAGGCGGUUUUGUAAGUUUGUCGUGAAAGCCCCGGGCUCAACCUGGGAAUUGCGAUGAAGACUGCAAGGCUUGAAUCUGGCAGAGGGGGGUAGAAUUCCGACGUGUAGCAGGUGAAAUGCGUAGAGAGUGAUGGAGGAACACCGAUGGCGAAGGGCAGCCCCCUGGGUCAAGAUUGACG
rnacentral:rRNA from 1 species